rnacentral:rRNA from 1 species
AUUGAACGCUGGCGGCAGGCCUAACACAUGCAAGUCGAGCGGAUGAGUGGAGCUUGCUCCAUGAUUCAGCGGCGGACGGGUGAGUAAUGCCUAGGAAUCUGCCUGGUAGUGGGGGACAACGUUUCGAAAGGAACGCUAAUACCGCAUACGUCCUACGGGAGAAAGUGGGGGAUCUUCGGACCUCACGCUAUCAGAUGAGCCUAGGUCGGAGUAGCUAGUUGGUGAGGUAAAGGCUCACCAAGGCGACGAUCAGUCACUGGUCCGAGAGGAUGAUCAGUCACACUGGAGUUGAGAGACGGACAAGACUCCUACGUGGGGCGUGAGUGGGGAAUAUGGGUAAAGGGGCGGAGGCCUGAUCAAGCCAUGCCGCGUGGGUGAAGAAUGUAUUCGGAAUGUAAAGCACUUUGAGUUGGGAGGAAGGGCAGUAAGUUAACACCUGGCUGUUUUGGCGUUACCAACAGAAUAAGCACCGGCUAACUUCGUGCCAGCAGCCGUAGUAAUAC